UAAGUAAGCUUUGAUCCAGAGAUUUCCGAAUGGGGAAACCCAGCAUGAGUUAUGUCAUGUUAUCGAUAUGUGAAUACAUAGCAUAUCAGAAGGCACACCCGGAGAACUGAAACAUCUUAGUACCCGGAGGAAGAGAAAGAAAAUUCGAUUCCCUUAGUAGCGGCGAGCGAAACGGGAAGAGCCCAAACCAACAAGCUUGCUUGUUGGGGUUGUAGGACACUCUAUACGGAGUUACAAAGGACGACAUUAGACGAAUCAUCUGGAAAGAUGAAUCAAAGAAGGUAAUAAUCCUGUAGUCGAAAAUGUUGUCUCUCUUGAGUGGAUCCUGAGUACGACGGAGCACGUGAAAUUCCGUCGGAAUCUGGGAGGACCAUCUCCUAAGGCUAAAUACUCUCUAGUGACCGAUAGUGAACCAGUACCGUGAGGGAAAGGUGAAAAGCACCCCGGAAGGGGAGUGAAAUAGAACCUGAAACCGUGUGCUUACAAGUAGUCAGAGCCCGUUAAUGGGUGAUGGCGUGCCUUUUGUAGAAUGAACCGGCGAGUUACGAUUUGAUGCAAGGUUAAGCAGUAAAUGUGGAGCCGUAGCGAAAGCGAGUCUGAAUAGGGCGUUUAGUAUUUGGUCGUAGACCCGAAACCAGGUGAUCUACCCUUGGUCAGGUUGAAGUUCAGGUAACACUGAAUGGAGGACCGAACCGACUUACGUUGAAAAGUGAGCGGAUGAACUGAGGGUAGCGGAGAAAUUCCAAUCGAACCUGGAGAUAGCUGGUUCUCUCCGAAAUAGCUUUAGGGCUAGCCUCAAGUGAUGAUUAUUGGAGGUAGAGCACUGUUUGGACGAGGGGCCCCUCUCGGGUUACCGAAUUCAGACAAACUCCGAAUGCCAAUUAAUUUAACUUGGGAGUCAGAACAUGGGUGAUAAGGUCCGUGUUCGAAAGGGAAACAGCCCAGACCACCAGCUAAGGUCCCAAAAUAUAUGUUAAGUGGAAAAGGAUGUGGCGUUGCCCAGACAACUAGGAUGUUGGCUUAGAAGCAGCCAUCAUUUAAAGAGUGCGUAAUAGCUCACUAGUCGAGUGACACUGCGCCGAAAAUGUACCGGGGCUAAACAUAUUACCGAAGCUGUGGAUUGUCCUUUGGACAAUGGUAGGAGAGCGUUCUAAGGGCGUUGAAGCAUGAUCGCAAGGACAUGUGGAGCGCUUAGAAGUGAGAAUGCCGGUGUGAGUAGCGAAAGACGGGUGAGAAUCCCGUCCACCGAUUGACUAAGGUUUCCAGAGGAAGGCUCGUCCGCUCUGGGUUAGUCGGGUCCUAAGCUGAGGCCGACAGGCGUAGGCGAUGGAUAACAGGUUGAUAUUCCUGUACCACCUAUAAUCGUUUUAAUCGAUGGGGGGACGCAGUAGGAUAGGCGAAGCGUGCGAUUGGAUUGCACGUCUAAGCAGUAAGGCUGAGUAUUAGGCAAAUCCGGUACUCGUUAAGGCUGAGCUGUGAUGGGGAGAAGACAUUGUGUCUUCGAGUCGUUGAUUUCACACUGCCGAGAAAAGCCUCUAGAUAGAAAAUAGGUGCCCGUACCGCAAACCGACACAGGUAGUCAAGAUGAGAAUUCUAAGGUGAGCGAGCGAACUCUCGUUAAGGAACUCGGCAAAAUGACCCCGUAACUUCGGGAGAAGGGGUGCUCUUUAGGGUUAACGCCCAGAAGAGCCGCAGUGAAUAGGCCCAAGCGACUGUUUAUCAAAAACACAGGUCUCUGCUAAACCGUAAGGUGAUGUAUAGGGGCUGACGCCUGCCCGGUGCUGGAAGGUUAAGAGGAGUGGUUAGCUUCUGCGAAGCUACGAAUCGAAGCCCCAGUAAACGGCGGCCGUAACUAUAACGGUCCUAAGGUAGCGAAAUUCCUUGUCGGGUAAGUUCCGACCCGCACGAAAGGCGUAACGAUUUGGGCACUGUCUCAACGAGAGACUCGGUGAAAUCAUAGUACCUGUGAAGAUGCAGGUUACCCGCGACAGGACGGAAAGACCCCGUGGAGCUUUACUGUAGCCUGAUAUUGAAAUUCGGCACAGCUUGUACAGGAUAGGUAGGAGCCUUUGAAACGUGAGCGCUAGCUUACGUGGAGGCGCUGGUGGGAUACUACCCUAGCUGUGUUGGCUUUCUAACCCGCACCACUUAUCGUGGUGGGAGACAGUGUCAGGCGGGCAGUUUGACUGGGGCGGUCGCCUCCUAAAAGGUAACGGAGGCGCUCAAAGGUUCCCU
rnacentral:rRNA from 1 species